rnacentral:rRNA from 1 species
AUGACCACCAACUUGGAGGCGAGCUUCCAUCUAAGUCAACUUGCACGCCCUCUUCUCAUACACGCUUCUAUUGCUGGAGGAGGCAGCAUCAUCAACGUGUCCUCCAUUGGAGGCUCAAUUGCCUUCGCAGGCUCCACCGUUUAUGCUAUCACAAAAGGCGCGGUGAACCAGCUUACGAGGAAUUUAGCCACAGAGUGGGCCCCUAACAAGAUCCGUGUGAAUGGCGUCGCCCCAGGAUUUGUCACAACAGAUAUGAUUAAAGAUGUAGAUUCAGAGUACAUGAAGCAAGAGAACUCGAAGACCCCGUUGGGACGGAGUGGCAAGCCGGUGGAGAUCGCCUCGGCAGUGUCAUUUUUGUGUAUGCCGGCAGCUUCUUACAUCACCGGCCAAACCAUUUGCAUUGAUGGUGGUCAAACCAUUAGUUCUUAG